GAAAAUUCGCGAAAUAAUUCGCGAAUCACGUAUCACCCAAUCUCAUUCAUUCAAUCACAAACACCGGCCGCCUCCAUCGUAAACAAUUUUCGGUUCAAUUCAUGUAAAUUUCUGUGUUCACUUAAUUCAUCUUAAGAUUUUGUUACGGUUGUGCCAUAUGAGAAAAUUAUUUCAGAGUUAUGUUCAUUGAGCUCGACGAUUUUGUAAACUUCUUGUGCUACACUUCUAUAUAAAUUGACGUUUUCGCAGAUUUCUGCUUACACGAUUUCACCAUUGAAGCAGCAAUUUAGCUGCCAUGGACACCUUUGCUGUAUUAAAGAUUGUGAACAAAAGUAUUAAAUCUGAGAUUAGCAAUGCCAAAAAAAAUUAUGGCAGCGCUACCAUACACGGUUUAUUCAUAACUUCAUUGCUAGUGUUAACAUGGUUACAUUUGUAUUUGAGUCGACUGUAUUACAAUAUUGUAGUAGCAACAUUGAUAGCAUUCUUGGCUUUGGUUGGCUUGUUGCUGAUGCUCUAUUUAAAUCGAAAAAUUGCCCGCGAAUUAACUACGAGAUAAAGAUGAAAUUACUGCGUUGUGGGAGUCAGUCGGAAUACAACAACACUAUCUAUAUCUACAUCUAUGGCGUUUCGAAAUGAAAAAACUCGGAAGAGAACGGAAGAAACUGCAGCGCGGGAAAAGGAAGGAACGAACCAAACUGAUGCAACUGUACCAAAAGAAAAUUCGGAAACUGAAGAAAUUAACGAAAUUGAUGAAAGCUCCAUCACCACGGAUACUCGUCGCUAUCUGGCUUCCCAUAUCAUAUAAAGAUACAGGACACGCAUCCUUACUCUUAAUGUUGGACGAUUUCAUUAAUUACAUAAGCCACUAUCCGAAGAAACCCGCUGCGCGAAAAAGGGACCCACGAAAAAAACUACCAACACCUGCACGUAAUUUACCCAUGUUGGACGAAUGGAGACCACCAGACAUUAUCAUAACAAUACCCAAUAAACAACUCGCGAUCGGCAGCAUUAACAAAAUCAAGGAAUGGUCUGACAAUAGGCAGCUUGCAAUUGACACAGGCGACCGAGAUUUUAAAUUAAAAUUUGAAAACUGUUCGGACACAGUUAAGAUGGCAUUAGCGGAAGGAGGAUUCAUAUUGGUGAAUCCAAUUUUUCGUUUUAUCACGCUAGGCAUGACGUUGCCAAAGCUGCUCGAAUGGAAUAUUCUUUACACAAUCGCACUUAAAGAUUCUAAUUUUUUGGUUAGAUACGUACAUUCCGGCUAUAUGUUGAUAGUAUUCGUGAUUAGUUUGCCUGCCGUUGAGCUAGUAUUGCAAUUGGCCGUGCUCUUACUUGUACUUGUCUUUAUUUAUUGCAAUUUUUUUCCAUAGAAUUGAGACUUCCUUUUUGCACGUGGAGGUUAUUCAAUUCUUUUCAUUUCUCACAACUAAUUAAUUCACCAUAACAAAAUUUUAUAUUUUAUUCCGAUAAAUUCAAUUCAAUUCAAUU